AUCGCGAAACCUUCGCCAAUCGAUGAUAUCCGUAAUGGAUUGUCUUCUUAUUCUCGCAGUCGGGGCAUCUCUGCCGAUUGAGGGCACCGGCCUUCCUCCGGUGGAGCUCUGCCUUGUUCUGACACCAACAACAAGCACUGAUUACCUGCGUUGCGUUUGCGUGACGCAUCCACAGAUCCGACAGGGUUUGGAUUCCGCACAAGGGUUCUUCAACCCUUAAAUAGCCGCGUAUUCAAACUAGCCGAUCAUACGCUCCUUGCCUUCGUCACAUCCGUUCCAUCCAAGCAGUGUGGAAGAGGAAGUGAGAUUUGGCAGAUUACUGGUUCCGGUUCAAUCUUCUGAACCAACCGCGAAACCUUCGCCAAUCGAUGAUAUCCGUAAUGGAUUGUCUUCUUAUUCUCGCAGUCGGGGCAUCUCUGCCGGUUGAGGGCACCGGCCUUCCUCCGGUGGAGCUCUGCCUUGUUCUGACACCAACAACAAGCACUGAUUACCUGCGUUGCGUUUGCGUGACGCAUCCACAGAUCCGACAGAGUUUGGAUUCCGCACAAGGGUUCUUCAACCCUUAAAUAGCCGCGUAUUCAAACUAGCCGAUCAUACGCUCCUUGCCUUCGUCACAUCCGUUCCAUCCAAGCAGUGUGGAAGAGGAAGUGAGAUUUGGCAGAUUACUGGUUCCGGUUCAAUCUUCUGAACCAACCGCGAAACCUUCGCCAAUCGAUGAUAUCCGUAAUGGAUUGUCUUCUUAUUCUCGCAGUCGGGGCAUCUCUGCCGGUUGAGGGCACCGGCCUUCCUCCGGUGGAGCUCUGCCUUGUUCUGACACCAACAAGCACUGAUUACCUGCGUUGCGUUUGCGUGACGCAUCCACAGAUCCAACAGAGUUUGGAUUCCGCACAAGGGUUCUUCAACCCUUAAAUAGCCGCGUAUUCAAACUAGCCGAUCAUACGCUCCUUGCCUUCGUCACAUCCGUUCCAUCCAAGCAGUGUGGAAGAAGAAGUGAGAUUUGGCAGAUUACUGGUUCCGGUUCAAUCUUCUGAACCAACCGCGAAACCUUCGCCAAUCGAUGAUAUCCGUAAUGGAUUGUCUUCUUAUUCUCGCAGUCGGGC